GUGGGGAAUAUUGGGCAAUGGGCGAAAGCCUGACCCAGCAACGCCGCGUGAAGGAAGAAGGUCUUCGGAUCGUAAACUUCUAUCCUUGGUGAAGAUAAUGACGGUAGCCGAGAAGGAAGCCCCGGCUAACUACGUGCCAGCAGCCGCGGUAAUACGUAGGGGGCAAGCGUUGUCCGGAAUGAUUGGGCGUAAAGGGCGCGUAGGCGGCCUGGUAAGUCUGGAGUGAAAGUCCUGCUUUUAAGGUGGGAAUUGCUUUGGAUACUGUCGGGCUUGAGUGCAGGAGAGGUAAGCGGAAUUCCCGGUGUAGCGGUGAAAUGCGUAGAGAUCGGGAGGAACACCAGUGGCGAAGGCGGCUUACUGGACUGUAACUGACGCUGAGGCGCGAAAGUGUGGGGAGCAAACAGGAUUAGAAACCCGUGUAGUCC
rnacentral:rRNA from 1 species